CUCUUCCACCAAAAAUUGACGUCGUCCGGCCACCUCCGUGUGCACCGCUCACCAUGGCAUGAUCCUCCCUCCCUCCUUUACCUAGAUAUCUUGUUUUGAGCUGUGGAGGAAGAAUUCAAGGUGAUUGGGGACGUGAACAGUAGCAUGAACAGUUGCAUCCGAGUUCUUGAGUUUGGGUUUGAAAUUCCGGCUUUUUCUGCUUGUUUUGGUUGUUGUUGCAGGACGUACUGAGCCCUCGAGCGAGGAGGACACAGGCAGGCAGCAGGGUUAGCUGCGGG